rnacentral:rRNA from 1 species
GGGGAAUAUUGGACAAUGGGCGAAAGCCUGAUCCAGCAAUGCCGCGUGAGUGAUGAAGGCCUUAGGGUUGUAAAGCUCUUUUAUCUGGGAAGAAAUGUACUUUUUCUUGAGUACUUGACGGUACCAGAGGAAUAAGCACCGGCUAACUCCGUGCCAGCAGCCGCGGUAAUACGGAGGGUGCAAGCGUUAUCCGGAUUCACUGGGUUUAAAGGGUGCGUAGGUGGGCAGGUAAGUCAGUGGUGAAAUCUCCGGGCUUAACCCGGAAACUGCCGUUGAUACUAUUUGUCUUGAAUAUUGUGGAGGUAAGCGGAAUAUGUCAUGUAGCGGUGAAAUGCUUAGAUAUGACAUAGAACACCAAUUGCGAAGGCAGCUUACUACACAAUCAUUGACGCUGAGGCACGAAAGCGUGGGGAUCAAACA